UACUUUGGAUUUCUUCGGAAUGACGAGGUUUGUGACUGAGCGGCGGACGGGUGAGUAACGCGUGGGCAACCUGCCUCACACAGGGGGAUAACAGUUAGAAAUGACUGCUAAUACCGCAUAAGACCACGAAACCGCAUGGUUUUGAGGUAAAAACUCCGGUGGUGUGAGAUGGGCCCGCGUCUGAUUAGGUAGUUGGUGCGGUAACGGCGCACCAAGGCGACGAUCGGUAGCCGGACUGAGAGGUUGAACGGCCACAUUGGGACUGAGACACGGCCCAGACUCC
rnacentral:rRNA from 1 species